CCUACGGGUGGCAGCAGUGAGGAAUAUUGGUCAAUGGGCGAGAGCCUGAACCAGCCAAGUAGCGUGAGGGAAGACGGACCUACGGGUUGUAAACUUCUUUUGUAAAGGAGUAAAGUGAGGUACGUGUGCCUUUUGGUAUGUACUCUGUGAAUAAGGAUCGGCUAACUCCGUGCCAGCAGCCGCGGUAAUACGGAGGAUCCGAGCGUUAUCCGGUUUUAUUGGGUUUAAAGGGAGCGGAGAUGGGUUGUUAAGUCAGUGGUGAAAGUUUGGGGCUCAACCGUAAAAUGGCCUUGGAUCAGGGCAGUCGUGGGUAGCGUUGAGUUAGCCGGACUUCGUGGUGUGGCGGUAAAUUGCU
rnacentral:rRNA from 1 species